AGAUUGAACGCUGGCGGCAUGCCUAACACAUGCAAGUCGAACGGGAGUAGCAAUACUCUAGUGGCGGACGGGUGAGGAAUACGUAGGAAUUUGCCCUUAAGUGGGGGAUAACCCGGGGAAACCCGGAUUAAUACCGCAUGACCUCGAAAGAGCAAAGUGGGGGAUCGCAAGACCUCACGCUUUUGGAGAAGCCUACGUCGGAUUAGCUAGUUGGUGAGGUAAUGGCUCACCAAGGCGACGAUCCGUAACUGGUCUGAGAGGAUGAUCAGUCACACCGGAACUGAGACACGGUCCGGGACUCCGUACGGG
rnacentral:rRNA from 1 species